UAGCCUCGUGGGUUGUCCGUCUGCCACUGAAUAUUAUAGGCUAAGUUACUUAAAGUCUGAAGUGGAUUUUUUUUCCCUUCUUUUUUUAAUGAAACAAGCGGUGAGAAAUCAAAUAGAGAGUGCAAGUGUUAGAGGGUCAAGUCAACUAUUAGGUCUCAUAGUAUACACACACAAGCAGAUUUUGUAAUGAGCUAAUCGGGGGUUGAGUGUUUCUGUAUAUUCUGCGUGUUUUAAUGAGCGCGCGCUGAACACGGAGGAGCCUUCAUUCAGAUUCAAACACUGGAGCGGAGGGAGUUGCCAUGGAAACGGGGUGAUCGACGACAACACUGGCAAGCUGCAGCUCUGUUUCUUGCUGCAGUUUUCACUGCUUUCGAUUCUUCUAGUGCUUGAUGGCCUUCUGUAUCCCAUGAUGAGCAAACCUCCUGUCCAACAACAUCUCCAAGGCACACUGAUCCAUAUGACUAGCAGCGAAAAAUACAUCGUGGACCAAAGAGGAAACUGAGGACACACUGACAGAAGAAGACCGAGA